UCUCUAGUUUUCAAGUGCGCUCUCCCCUAACUCAAAGAAUAUCCCAGAGGUCGUCUCCUGGCCAGAUUAGAAUGGGGUAGGGGAGUCCUAACUCCCCUCAUUAGGAUUAGGGAGUGGUGACCCCCUGGCCACCUCUACACCACGCUGUUGUAACAGCCAAAGGACAGGAGCCGUUCAAGGCCCUAGCUUCGAAAUCUUCCACUAGGUGGCACCCCCCAACUCCGAGUGUCAAGGGGAGAUGAAUUUCCCAAAAGGUGAGCCAAUCGAGCUGCGGAGCAGGGAAAAGUGGCGGGGAGAGGCGGAAGUUAGCUCUCUCACCCUCCAGAAGGAAGUACGGUUGACACAAGCCAGGGAUUCGGCCACCACGCCCAGGUCCUGCUCCCAAUCCCUCUGAGCUCUGGGACCAAGGGCAGGAGAUCCCCACCCACCGCAAGCCACCGCGGAGACCAGUCGCCUGCACCAGAAUGAGAAAGAGCCAGGACCUGGAGACAGGGAUCAUGUGACUAGACAAUCAUAUGACACUAUGGCCCGCCUCCCCCGGAGCAGUGCUUGCUGGUUGGGCUGCUUCCCACCCCCACCCCCCGGGUCCUGGCGGCGCCUGGCGGGGUGUUCUGGAGAUGGAGCUUCGCGUGCCUAAGGCCACCGACAGUUAAGAGGGCUGCCUCCAGGGCGCGUGUUCAAGGUCGUUUACAGGAUAGCGUCCGCUUCUGGAUCGGGACAGUUGCACAUUCCUUGUCUUUUCACUCUAGGCAGCCGGGACUCGGAACAAGCUAGAUGGUUAUGAGGGUGAAGAUAAACAAUCCCUAGGUUUGGCUGGGAGACUAGCUUAGACUAAACCUAAUAAACGUUCAAGGGCGAGUACCAGGCGCUAUGGAUGUGUGUAGGGAGGAGGCAGGAGAUUGGCUCAAGGUGGGGGAAGGAGAGAUGUAGAUCGAUGUUGAACUAGCCAAGAGAUAGCGCCACACAGAGCUGAAUCUGGAAGACUUUUAAGAGGCUGGUUAGGCGGGCCUUAGGUGCUUAGGAAGAGGCUAGGAAACUAGAUGGGAAGUAUAGCCUCGAGCAAGGGUUGAAAGUCACAUUCAAGGUGAGGGCAUGUGGCGUGGGCUGGUGACUUGUCAAGGUGGAAGACGCUUCCUAGUUUCAGCUGCCCUCACCUUCCAGGAAUUGCCACGGUGGGUAAAUAGAUUUCAGCAGCAGAACAGACUAGCCAUAAACAAGAGUCAGGCUGCUGAGUGCUAAAGGGCCCCGGCCAGACAGAGACGCCUCCAGAGGCGUCUGGCUAGGAAGAGGACAGGCCCGAGGAAAGGCGGUUGUUUGUGUGAAAGAUAGGUCCCCCACGUGGAGCAAAGAGCUUGACUGGGAGGCCACUCAGGAGAAUCUAGGGUAAUUCUGCACCCCGAUGACAUUCGUAUAGGCGUCCCUUCUAGUAUCCCCAGACUAUAGCUUACACUUCAUGCUCAGGUAGGGGAGUUACUUUAACCAGGGCUUGGAAGCCAGCUCCAGCAACAUUGCAGCCCUGAGUCAGGGGUCGCCUGUGUUCCAGACUAGCCUCCGACUUGAUAUGUAGCUGAGGAUGAGCCAGGCCGUCUCAUUUCCCUUCCCCUACCUUCCAAGAGCUGGAACUUGGCAGCCAUGAUUAGUUUCUGUGGUGCUGGGAUUUAACCCAGAGCCUUGUGCAUGCUAGGCAAACGCUAUCAACUGAGCUGCAUCCCAGGCCCAGGACUGCCUCAUAAGAAAAUGGAAAAUGGAAAAUUAUAUUCUGGGGCUACGAAAAACCUAUUUCUUUUUGUUUGUUUGUUUUUUGAGACAGGGUUUUGCUGUGUAGCUUUGGUGCCUGUCCUGGGUCUCCCUCUGUAGGCCAGGCUGGCCUCAAAUUUACAGAGAUCCACCUGCCUCUGCCUCCCGAGUGCUGGGAUUAAAGGUGUGUGCCACCACUG